UACGUAGGGCGCAAGCGUUGUCCGGAAUUAUUGGGCGUAAAGAGCUCGUAGGUGGCUUGUUGCGUCUGCCGUGAAAGCCCGGGGCUUAACCCCGGGUCUGCAGUGGAUACGGGCAGGCUAGAGGUAGGUAGGGGAGAAUGGAAUUCCCGGUGUAGCGGUGAAAUGCGCAGAUAUCGGGAGGAACACCGGUGGCGAAGGCGGUUCUCUGGGCCUUACCUGACGCUGAGGAGCGAAAGCGUGGGGAGCGAACAGG
rnacentral:rRNA from 1 species